rnacentral:tRNA from 1 species
GUCUCCUUGGUGUAGUUGGUUAUCACGUGGGUCUCAUAGUCAUCACGCUGUGACUGCUAUUCAGCAGAUAUCCCAAGGCCGCCAGUUCGAGUCUGGCAGGGGACA